rnacentral:rRNA from 1 species
GUGGGGAAUAUUGGACAAUGGGCGAAAGCCUGAUCCAGCCAUGCCGCGUGUGUGAAGAAGGUCUUCGGAUUGUAAAGCACUUUAAGUUGGGAGGAAGGGCAGUAAGUUAAUACCUUGCUGUUUUGACGUUACCGACAGAAUAAGCACCGGCUAACUUCGUGCCAGCAGCCGCGGUAAUACGAAGGGUGCAAGCGUUAAUCGGAAUUACUGGGCGUAAAGCGCGCGUAGGUUGUUUUGUAAGUUGGAGGUGAAAUCCCCGGGCUCAACCUGGGAACUGCCUCCAAAACUGCAUGACUAGAGUACGGUAGAGGGUAGUGGAAUUUCCUGUGUAGCGGUGAAAUGCGUAGAUAUAGGAAGGAACACCAGUGGCGAAGGCGACUACCUGGACUGAUACUGACACUGAGGUGCGAAAGCGUGGGGAGCAAACAGGAUUAGAUACCCUAGUAGUCC